rnacentral:rRNA from 1 species
CACAUGCAAGUCGAGCGCCCCGCGAGGGGAGCGGCAGACGGGUGAGUAACGCGUGGAACGUACCCUUUACUACGGAACAACUCCGGGAAACUGGAGCUAAUACCGUAUGUGCCCUUUGGGGGAAAGAUUUAUCGGUAAAGGAUCGGCCCGCGUUGGAUUAGCUAGUUGGUGGGGUAAAGGCCUACCAAGGCGACGAUCCAUAGCUGGUCUGAGAGGAUGAUCACCCACAUUGGGACUGAGACACGGCCCAAACUCCUACGGGAGGCAGCAGUGGGGAAUAUUGCACAAUGGGCGCAAGCCUGAUCCACCCAUGCCGCGUGAAUGAUGAAGGCCUUAGGGUUGUAAAUUUCUUUCACCGGAGAAGAUAAUGACGGUAUCCGGAGAAGAAGCCCCGGCUAAUUUCGUGCCACCACCCGCGGUAAUACGAAGGGGGCUAGCGUUGGUUCGGAAUUACUGGGGUAAAGG